rnacentral:misc_RNA from 1 species
GAUGAUGAACGUAGCGAAAUGCGAUAAUUAAUGUGAAUUGCAGAAUUCAGUGAAUCAUCGAGUCUUUGAACGCACAUUGCGCCCCUCGGUAUUCCGUGGGGCAUGCCUGUUCGAGCGUCAUUUAACCCCUCAAGCCUAGCUUGGUAUUGGGUGCUUGUCCCGCCUCUCGCGCGGCGACUCACCUCAAAGUCAUUGGCAGCCCGCAUCUCGCCGGCCGUGAGCGCAGCACAGACGCGCUCUUGGCAACGACGGAUCGGCUCUCCAAAAGCUUAUUUCAACCACUGACCUCGGAUCAGGUAGGGAUACCCGCUGAACUUAAGCAUAUCAAUAAGCGGAGGA